rnacentral:rRNA from 1 species
GCCGGCAGCUAGCUCUCUGCAACUCUCACAUGGUUGCCCACUGAAGCUAAGCAGAGCUGCACCCAGUCAGUACCUGGAUGGGAGACGACAUGGGAAAGCUUGGUUGCUGCUGGAA